CGGCAACCAUCUGAGCGCUGGGCAUCGGCCCACGCCUACAGAAGGCGCUCAAUAAAUGCUCACUAGUGAAUCAGUAAAAUAAAUCGGCAGCAAAGAGACACGAGACGCAUGCUGAUCUUCAGGUGUUGGGGACAUCAGGGACGCGAACAUUUAUUGAGCUCUUAUUGUAUACCCCGUCGGCCAGCAUUUGUGUCCAUUUCACACAUGAGGAAUAAGAGGCUCAGAGAGGUGAAGUGACUUCCUUAAGGCCCCACAGAUAGUAAGUGGCCGAGACGAAUUUGAAACCAGGGGUGUCCUGUUUCAACUUGGUGCCAAAUAGAGUAACUCGGACUCCAGUUGGAGGGGUUCGGGAGAACCAUAGAAGAGGAAGGGUCGUGUCUUCCGUGGACAGGCCACCGGAGCCGUCAGCUGUUUGGAACUGAGCUACUGCAGAAAGGGAAGUGGAGAGUGAGGGCCAGCUCCCGUGGGGGCAGAUGGCCAGCAGAUGGCUGGAUCUGCGCUGGGCACUGAGUGUGCUUUGUGUGCUGCUAAUGGUGGAGACAGUGUCUGGGGCUAGGGGCUCGUCUACAGGGGCUCACAUUAGCCCCCAGUUUCCAGCUUCAGGUGUGAACCAGACCCCCGUGGUAGACUGUCGCAAGGUGUGUGGCCUGAAUGUCUCUGACCGCUGUGACUUCAUCCGGACCAACCCUGACUGCCGCAGUGAUGGGGGAUACCUGGACUACCUGGAAGGCAUCUUCUGCCACUUCCCUCCCAGCCUCCUCCCUCUGGCUGUCACUCUCUAUGUUUCCUGGCUGCUCUACCUGUUUCUGAUUCUGGGAGUCACCGCAGCCAAGUUUUUCUGCCCCAACUUGUCGGCCAUUUCCACCACACUCAAGCUCUCCCACAACGUGGCAGGCGUCACCUUCCUGGCAUUUGGGAAUGGUGCACCUGACAUCUUCAGUGCCCUGGUGGCCUUCUCCGACCCGCACACAGCCGGCCUGGCCCUUGGGGCACUGUUUGGUUACCUGGGCUUGUAUGUGUUCUAUGUGGUCACUGUGAUUCUCUGCACCUGGAUCUACCGAUGGCAACGGAGAGGAUCUCUGUUCUGCCCCAUGCCAGUUACUCCAGAGAUCCUCUCAGACUCUGAGGAGGACCGGGUAUCUUCUAAUACCAACAGCUAUGACUACGGUGACGAGUACCGGCCACUGUUCUUCUACCAGGAGACCACGGCUCAGAUCCUGGUCCGGGCCCUCAAUCCCCUGGAUUACAUGAAGUGGAGAAGGAAAUCAGCAUACUGGAAAGCCCUCAAGGUGUUCAAGCUGCCUGUGGAGUUCCUGCUGCUCCUCACAGUCCCCGUCGUGGACCCGGACAAGGAUGACCGGAACUGGAAACGGCCCCUCAACUGUCUGCAUCUGGUUAUCAGCCCCCUGGUUGUGGUCCUGACCCUGCAGUCAGGGACCUAUGGUGUCUAUGAGAUAGGCGGCCUCAUUCCUAUCUGGGUCGUGGUGGUGAUCGCAGGCACAGCCUUGGCUUCAGUGACCUUUUUUGCCACAUCUGACAGCCAGCCCCCCAGGCUUCACUGGGUGAGGAACUGAGGCUGUGUCCCUGUUGGGGCUGGCCUUGGUCCCACAGCAAACCAUUCCCUCCACAGCUCUUUGCUUUCCUGGGCUUUCUGACCAGCGCCCUGUGGAUCAAC
rnacentral:sRNA from 1 species